CUGAAUCCCUGAGAAGAAAUAUCUACAUAACUGCAUCUGAAUUUUGAUACAUUACGGAUUUUUAUAUUCUCAUAAAAGUAGCUUAAACUGUUGGCAUCUUUUACAGCAUGGUACUAACAAAAAGCCGGAACUUAUAGCUCUGGAUAUAAUUAGCUUUGGAGCUCAAACAACAUUUCUUUGGCCACAAGUGGCUGUGUGGUAGUCUUCAAUGUACUUUUACUCUGACAUUUGCCGAAGAGCUGUUAGGACUGUGACAAACACGGGAUCACUCUGCAUUUUCUGCAUUUUUUUUUUGUUUCAGUCUAAAACACCCAGCUCGUGAAGUAAAGCAAUGUUACUUCUGGCCAUUGGACAUUAUGAAAUUGAAAAUGAUGAACUGCCUGAUCAACACUGACAUGCCAAGAUAAGAGAACAGAUUCCUGGAAAUGACACCGCUAUCAGCACUUGCGGAUAGAAUUGAGGGGAGAAUUUUGUAACCUGCAGUUAAUAGGCUUGGCUUUCAACUCCGUUUCUGCAUAAGAAAGAAAACCAAGAAUGUGUUGUCAGUAUCUCAACCUCUUUUUAUGUUUUUUUUUGUGAUGAUAUAUGAAGGGUGUAUCCGAGCUUCAAUUGAUGGAGCAUUUUAAUUGCUAACUGCAGUGUACACAGGUGUGACUUAUUCUGUGAGAACCCCACAGUUCAGCUGAACCUAGAGCUUUAUGUUUCUAAAAAGCUCACUUCAAAGGCUGUUUUACACAUCUUCAUGUGAAAGGUAAGCUUUGUUAACUCAUGCUCUGUAGUUUAAAAAAAAAAAAAAAGGUGCACCCAGUUGUCAGAUGUCACCUCAUCAUUAUGGAAAGAGAAGCA